rnacentral:rRNA from 1 species
CCUACGGGUGGCAGCAGUAGGGAAUCUUCCACAAUGGGCGAAAGCCUGAUGCAGCAACGCCGCGUGGGUGAAGAAGGUCUUCGGAUCGUAAAACCCUGUUGUUAGAGAAGAAAGUGCGUGAGAGUAACUGUUCACGUUUCGACGGUAUCUAGCCAGAACGCCACGGCUAACUACGUGCCAGCAGCCGCGGUAAUACGUAGGUGGCAACCUUUAGCCGGAUUUAUUGGGCGUAAAGGGAACGCAGGCGGUCUUUUAAGUCUGAUGUGAAAGCCUUCGGCUUAACCGGAGUAGUGCAUUGGAAACUGGGAGACUUGAGUGCAGGAGAGGAGAGUGGAAUUCCAUGUGUAGCGGUGAAAUGCGUAGAUAUAAGGAAGAACACCAGUGGCGAAAGCGGCUCUCUGGUCUGUAACUGACGCUGAGGUUCGAAAGCGUGGGUAGCAAACAGGAUUAGAUACCCUGGUAGUC